GUUUUCGUUUCGUUUUCAGUCCGCAUUGCUGUGUGAGCUGUGUGCGCUGUGUGUUAUCGUCAUCGAGGUCGGUCGACGUCGGUCGCUGAGUCGCAUGUGUUUCGCAUUUUUCUACCCCCGACCCUGCCAAUGCCCAUUUCCCCUGCCCCUGCCCCAGUACAUUGCCUCUGUCCCUGUCCCUGUUCUCUGCCCCGGUUCGCCUUGUUUGCCUGUCUGCCUCUGGGUUUUGCCUUGCCACUGCCGCAUGUCUCAUCAUCGCAUUUCAUCCCUCGUCGUCGUUGCGUUCUCGUUCGCGUUCGCGUCUGCAGCUGUAUUUUCGGUGUUAUUUUUGGUAUAGGGGCUGGAGCGAGUCUAGACAUGCUGGCCGUCCGGACUCCGGAUGGUUCGCCCUUUUGGGACCGAAUCAACCAAACCAACCAAACCAAGAGCCAACCAUACAACGUCUUCUUUGGCGGCAGCGAGAAGUCCCUUCUCGGAAUUAUUGGUUUUGCUCCGUACCCAUUGCCAUUCCGGCUCGGCUGACUCAUGCUUAUCUUCGCAGUCGUCGUUUUAAAGGCGAGGCGGCGCUCACUCAUUGCUCAUUGCUCAUUGUUCUGUUGACAACUGGUCGUAUGUGUAAUGCAGCCGAAGCUCGUUGCGCAUACGUCGUGUGCGCUUAAAAGCUGCGCCAAAAACCAAUCAGCUAAAAGCUCACCCCCCUCAAUCAAAUCAAAUCGCAUCAGCUGAGCUUCGCAACGGGAAAACCCAAGCGAGCAUCAACAUCAACAACAGCGCGCACACAAAAAAUAUAAAGAAAAAUAAAACUUUCUACGCUAAUUUUCGUUGGAAUGGAGAAAUGCUGGCCAUCAUUAUAAGCCAGAAAACAGAAAACAAAAUUUAUACAAUGCUGGCCAUCAUCUUGGGACUGGCUGACUGCCUGACUAGCUGACUGGCUGACUGUCUGGCUGGCUGAUGAUGAUGAUUUUCGAGCUGCGUUCGCUGGCAAUGUUGCUGGAAGUUGAAUUUUAUUGCCACACCAACAUCACUCAGGCAGUUUUAAGCGGCAACAGCGACCAGGCACCGCAGCAGCAACACAAAAGCCAGUACCCGUCAAGCGUUCGUUGCUUUUUACCCACCAGCAACAUCUACAGCAACACUUGCGCAGCAAUAACAACAGCAGCAGCAGCAUUUUACGCUUCGCCAGCAACUCGUUUCAGCUGGCACUGGCAGCGGACUGAAAACUGAAAACUGACUGAAAAAGCAGGAGGAGAUUGGCGGAGCGAGGGGCGUGGGUCUCCGUCUCCGGCUCCGACUUCGACUGGCUCCAAAAUGACGGCCCGAGUCUAAAGCUCGCACGCAGCGUCGCUGCAGUUGUUGCUGUUGCUGUUGCUGCUGCAUUUCAGGUUAUGAGCCAAACAAGCAGCCAGCGAACAGAAACCAACCCAACCUGAGAGCCGGAGCCAGUCAUCGUCAGCAGCAACAGCCACAGCAACAGCAAAAGCAACACGAAACGAAAUGUUUGGCCGAAAGGCAGAGCCAAGAGCUAAGAGCCAGGAGACAGUGGGCUAAAACUGACCUAAAAGUGUUUUCUAUGCCAACAUCCCGGAGUUAAAUAUGAAAAUUUCUAUUUUAGUACUAGACAGAUGAGAUCUUUUCUGUUUCCAACAGGCUUUUUAUCAAUGAGUAGCUAUACGUUGUAGGGUUCUAUAGCUAAAGGACCUAAAAGUAAUAGUAAUGUAAUAGUAAUUUUUGAGAAUUUUACAAAGCAAUCUAAGCUCAGGCGUAAUUUAAAAUUCAAUAAAAUACAAAAUUUUAACUUUUUGGUAAUUAAUAGCACAGAAAAUGUAGCUUGGAGCAAUAUUUUUUCCUAUAUUAUACUUUUAUUAAGACCCAAUAUUAUUUCCCAAAUAACAUUCCAUCCCAUUGUGCCGUUCGAGAGUCGACUUCCAAGCAUUUAAGUCGGUCGCCGUUGUCGUUGCCGUUGUCGUUGUCGUUGUUGCUACCUCCAGUGCCUCGGCUCUGAAACUCCGGCUGGCUUUAACUCUGGGCUGUGGGCUUUGGCUUGGGCUGUGGCUGUGGGUCUGGGCCUGGCUACGACUGUGGCUCUGGCCCGAUCCACUCCGGUCGUAGCGGGUCUGGUGCUCUGGUCUGGGGGCCCCACUUUGAAUUCUUCGGCUGGGGCGCACAGCACAACGUGCGAUAGCUGCGAAUCGAGUCGAGUCGAGUCGAGUCGAGCCGAGAGCCGCACAUAAAAAACAACGUCAAGAGAAACAAAAAUAAAGAAAGAAAAAAAUAACAAGUAGAAGCAAAAAAGCCGAGUUUCGGCUUUCGAGCUGGGUUUGGGUCUGGGUUUGGGUUUGGGUUUUGAGCCGCGAUCUCCGCCAAAGCAAUUUAAGUGUACGAGUCAAAGAGGAAGAAGAAACUUUGGAAACAUAAAAAAGAGCGCGCGCGGCCCGAAGACAACGACGAUGGGGCAUAAUAAAAAAAAUUACCAGCAAGCUGGGUUCAACGGAGUUGAAUAAGAAGAAGACGAAGACGAAGCGGUCUUCAGCUCAUCAUAAUAAAAAUGAAUUGAAUUGAAGACAGGGGCGAAGACGCACCAGCACCACCAGCACUACCCGCUCUCCCACUCUUCUUUCUCGAGCCCAGUUCUCUUAGUUUAGUUGCUGGUUGUGGAUCUGGAUCUGGAUGUGGAUGUGGAUCUGGAUCUGGACAUGGAUGUGGAUGGGAAGCUCGAGAUGACGCCGAUAUGGUGGCUGGUCCCUCGGAGUUUCCCAUGCUGGCUCAGUUAUUUUUCCCUCCCUCAUGGUGAAAACUUUGAAUGCAAACACCCACAACAAUAACAGAGCUAUUUGCUUAUAGCGGCACAUGACGAUGUGGGAACGGAAAGAUGUUCAAGCCAGGCUUUCCCACUAACUCAACGCUAGUUCCCCUCUCGGAGGUAUAGCAUUUGUAAUGUUAAAAUGAAUACCAACUAUGCAAUUAAAAGUGUAUACGAAUUAAACAAAUCUAGUAAUAGCUUUUCAUAUUUUUACUACAAUCCCCCAAAGAAAUAUGUUAUCGAUGGUAAUAAUACUUUAUCCAUAUGUUUUAACGAAUAUUUUGGGCUUUAAUUCCACUGUAUGGAUAUUUGUAAAAUGGUCCACUCAAUAGUUGCAAGACUGUUUGUUUACCCAAACAUGAAUCAAGGCUGUGCUAGAGAGCUACGGAUGGGCUGUGCUUUUUGGAUUGGGUGGAGUUCGUGGGCUGCGUUGUAGGUGGCAGUCUUUUUUGAUGUGCGCAUAUUUUGCGUCGGCCAUUUCAUGUUGCCGCACCACGGAGUUCGCCGCACGACUGACAGACACAAAACCCCCGAUUCCGAUUCCGAUUUCGAUACCGAGUUUCGAGUGCGAGUCCCCGUGUCGAUGUGGAUGUGGAUGUGGGGACGUCGAUUGGCGGCAGAGGCAGAGGCGGAGGCAGCGGCCGCGACGGAGACAGGAAGCCACCGCGACGGCGGCGUCGUCGACCAAAUCAGCUGUUUUUGGCGAAUUAGAGCAAUUUUCAAUGCACGCCGCUUGCUGUUUCUGCCUUCUUUUUUUUGCGGCUUUUUGUUGCGCGCUUCAUGUCGAAGAUUUAUAAGCAGCGACGUCGGCAGCGAAGUUGGCAUCGCAAUUGGUGACAUUGAAAAUUUGCAAGGCAUCUCUCGCUCUUCCCACUUUGCGUACGUGAGUGUCAGUGUAUGUGAUUUGGCGAAAUGGGGGAACAGCUGACAACAUACAUUACCCAUACGAGAGGAGGCCAAGUGGGGGAUGUGUGGGAGAUGGGGGUUAAGAAUGGUAACUUUUGGUCAAUGAACCAUACCUCCCAGCCUCGCCUGCUUUCUAUCAAGGCAACUCAACUCAGCUGUUUCUGCGAUGUGUACGGCAAAGGCAGAGUUCGGCAUUUCGUGAAACGUGAGUCGAGACCCUCACAAAUCCCAAUACCAGCCAUCCAACCAUCCAACCAACCCAUAUCAUCAUCAUCCCAUUCCAUUGUAAGCCGCCCAAGGGUCGGGCGAGCAUUUUUACCUAAGGUCGAGAACCAUAAUCCCCGAAAAGGAUGCAGCGCAUUAGACACGCCAGUGGGUUCGGGCUCAAUUUCGGUUUUCUAGGAUUGCAGCACUCACUUUCUACCUGACCAACCCAAGCGAUCCAUCAAUAUGCCAUUCCGACUGUCGAGACUUUAAGGACGAAUUCGACUGUGAUUGAACCUUUGCCAAGUAGCGGGACGACUUGAGAUGGGAAUGAAAUUGCCAGGAAAUCAACCUGUUGGUCGAUUGAUUGCCCAGUCCAGCUAAUAAGAAGAGGUCUGAGCAAUGGUGGGCCCUUCCUACGAUCGGAAUUAAUAGGAAUAUUGACACCAACUUAUAAGUUUUUAACUCUAAUCUUAUAUUUAACUCAAUUUUUAGAUUAUAAUAAAGCACGAUCCUACAGACUUUAAAAAGUGAUUAUAUAGUAAUACCCAUCUAAAAUAAGUGCUUUCGAUAUUGAGAGCAUAUGAACCUUUAUAUAACAUUCUCCAGUUAUUUAUUUUUAUCGAAUUCAUUUGAAGAUUGGCUCUAAAUACGACGAACCUUUUCAAAUACACCGCAAUGAUGUCUAGAUCUCUAAAAUCAAACGCCUUAAUAUCUUUACCAUUUCUGAACCCACGAGGUGUGGUGAUAGUAGAAUGGUGAUCCUCAAUAGCUUCCCCACUUGGGCAGAUAGCCGAUGAUCAUCGAUCUGCAUGCAAAAAUUUCUGCCGUGCGGCUCUUAUCACGCAGACCAGCUGAUAAGACAAGAGCACGAGUAGAGCGACCAGAGCAAAAGAGAGUUGAGUUGAGUUGCGUCAAGUGCGCUAAUCGCUCCGAAUCGGAACCAGGGCUACAGCCAACGAGCAACAACAAUUGCCGUUAACAAUUGUCGGAGCGACAGCACACUGCGCAAAUUGCACGUCGCGCAGUGUACGAGGCAACAACAGCUAUCGAGGCGUACGUACGUACAUUCACCAAGCCGCUUGGUAAACACAAAAUUACAAAAACAAAAAAAAUACCAUGGAAAAAACUGUGGGUAUAUAUGUACGUAUGUUUGUACAUAUAGCCCCAACCAACAAAGACUCCACUCCACAUCCCAUGCAUACAUAUGUACAUCCACAGCUACAUCCAAUGUUGCUGACUCGACUCACCGCAUACAUACAGACACUCCGUUCGUAUAUAUGUACAAACAUGUACAAGCGAACGAGCCGAACGACCGACACACGAAGUACAGUCGCACAGUUAAAAAUAAAGUAUGGGCCGCUGCAACGCGAAGGGGAAAGGGAGAUGACACGAGAGAGAAGGCAUGCAAAGAGAAGAGAAGAGAGCGAGCGAGGGUAAAACAACAAAGCGAAUGCUGGUAAAUAAUGAUGAUGGAACCAGUGUGCUGUAUGUGCAUGUUGGUAUGUGUUCCGAUGGGAGUAUGUGUGUGUAUACUGCACAGUAAAAUUUCAUGUAUUAAAAUCGCUUGUUCGUGUAUAUGCAUGUACACUGUACAGGGUAAGAGCUGCCAUCGCUGUGCUGUUGAUAGCGAGGGACGUAAUAUCGCAACUUUUGCCGUUCCAAAAGCACGGAGCCAAGCGAACGUUCGUUCGUUCGUUCGCUGGUUCGUUCGAGUUUAAUUUUGUAGUAUGUAGCAGGAAAAAAAGAAACGACGAAAAAAUAAAUGAUGGCGGCAACAACAACGACUCGUCGUCGACUGAGUCGGCAGUGUUGCGUUCCGAUUUUUGUUGAAAAUAUUUUUGUUUCUUUUUGCGUUUCGAAAACACUCGAUGUGCCAAAGAAAGAAGAGUAGAUGGGGAAGAAGAAGAAAAGGAACAGGCAGAGGCUUACAGCGACCGUUUUUCUAGUGCGUUUCGCUUAGAAUGGCAAAAAUCUCAAAGGGGACGAAGAAUCCCACCCCAAAAACCCCCCGCUUUCAGUUGUAGUAUGGUAAGUGGUAAGUACGGCGCGCUCGUUUUAGCGAAGGUUGCUAGCGUGGUGGGAUAACGGAUGUUGGAUAUUGUAUUCGUCGGAUGUCGGACAACGGCCGCAGCGUAGCGCGCGCAAAUUCACGUAGUUUGAAUCGGUUUCGGAUUUGAACUCGCCAGCGCAGCGCCACAAAGCUAACGGAUCGAACCAAGGUUGCCCGCUGGCAUUUUCCUACGGCAUGAGGCAAUCAAAUAGCGAAGAUACUGUCGAGGUACAUUGAAUGAUAAAGACUUUAUAGGAAAACUGGAGGACUGUUCAUAGCAUUUGAGAGCACUAUAUUAUACAUACAUUGAAUAUUAUAGUAGAAGGUUAACAAGAAAGCUCAGUUUAUAAGGUAGCACAGACGUUUUUAGUUAAAAGAUAUUUGUGUAUUCGAUUCUGAUCGUCAACAAAAAAACUAACAAGAUAUCUUAUUUAUGUGAAAUUCAGCUUGUUUUAAAAUAUUUAUUUCCAGGUUUGUAUAAAAAAUUAAGAAUUUUUGGUUUCUCGGCCAAAGUGAUCUGAUCUCAUAUUCCGAUCUAGGCCAUUCUACAAAUAGCUACUCUCCAUUUGCUAACUCAGUUGAUCUUGAAGUUUAGGAUUUAUCGCGGGACCCAAUCAGUGUGUCCUUUAUUUAACGGUUCCAUGGUUAACACUCUUUAAGGGCUGCCUUGCCGCUUUAACCCAUGUCCGCCCACGAGCGCCCAUCCGUGACUAUGACGCCAACUCCCGGACUCCCGCACUCGUAUAUUCCGGCUCUGCUUCGAUACGGCAGCCCACACAUACACAUUCAACCCUCCCCCGGUGGCAGUGUCCCCUUAUAACACCCUGGACUGUUUAUAAAAUAACCUUAUUCUGCACAUAUACACGGGCUUUCGUUGUGCUUGUGUGUGUGUAAGCUCCAUCAGCCCCCACGGAGGGUUGGGCGAAUCUUCCUCUUCCCGAGACACCCUCUCUGCUAUUCCGUCUCUGUCUCUCUCUCUGGCACUUUAUGCCUGACAUUAUUAUAAUAUUAUAUUCUUUAUAAUAAUGGGUUGGCAGCACAGGCAGCCGAAAACCACCUACAUCCAUAUACCAGCCACCCAUCCACCAUCAGCCAUCCCAUAUCCUUCGCCUCAUCCUGUCCCACCCAACCCCUCUCAUCGAGUCGAGUUGGCGACCCUGCGCAGUAAAGUCGAACCGGCUUUUCUCUAUCGUACGACCCGACCGUACCUCGACCAAACCCCGACAUCCCCCUUAUAAAAUCAACCCAAACCACCCACUCUGAAUGCUCCUUGUGUUGGGUGUGGUGAGAUAUGCCGUGUGACGUAUAAAAGCUAAAAACGUUGGCAAAUAUAAUGAAAUUGGGUGAAAUGCUAUGCCACCCACUGUACCUCCCAUUAACCCCCAAGUUCUGGCAUAAUGAAGCCUACCAAACAGGACGAGAAAUACGAUGGGUUUUGGGUGGAUUGAUGGUGGUGGUGCUGCUGCUCUGCUGUCGGCGCUGGUGGUGGUGGUGGUUUUGGGCCAUCCACUAGUAUGAAAACCACUUUUCCAAUUGCACGUACACCACUACGUGGGCUGAGCAAAAGAGAAAGGGAGUGCGGAAGAGAGAAAGAGAGAUGGAAUGUUUCAAACCACUCCACUGCCUUCCUCUUUUUUGCCGUAUUCAGUUGGUGUUGUUGUUGUUGCGUGGGUGGUGGGGCGGUUGUCAGUGAGAGCAGCGAGAGAAAUGAAAAUGGAAGCGAGGACAUGCGGAGGAGGCAGAGUGAACAACUGUACACGGUGGAAAAUAAAAUUACGGAGGUUUUUUCAUAUGCGUAGACAUAUUUGUAUUUUAAAGGAUGCUUUCAAGCGCUGAAGUUGCUUAAGAUUCAGGACACCUUUCAUUUAUAACUAUUGCAUUUAUAACCAAAAUCCAAAAUCGAACUGAUUUUCAUUUUCGAUUCAGUUAUACUUCAAGUAGCACGUCAUUCGGGGCAUUAUUUUUGCCAGUGUGCUUGAGUGGGUGGGGAAUUGGGGUGGACUAUGUAGUGGUGAACUGGGAGGGCCAGUUAGCCUUGCUCUGUCGCUGCUCUGCGUACGAUAACUUUAAUUUGGCUUAAUGGAAAUUUUCGCUAGCGCUCUCGUAGUGCUGUUGUCCUUAAGCAAACCCGUGGAUGGUGCUCCUGUCUCGCUCUUCCACCCCAGCUUCCGUCUCUUUGGUCAGUUGUCUCAGUUGCCCAACUGGCCAUCGUCCAUGGUCUAUGGUCCGCGUGUUAAGUAGGUGACGCAACCGCAAAUUUGCGGCUUGCGAUUUAAUAAUGCUAAUGGUGUGCGUGUGCAAGUGCAUUGGUAGUUGGACAUUGCACGUGUAAUGGCUUCUGUUGUUGUUGUUGUUAGCGCCCUGGACCGCCUGAGAGUCACGUCAUCAUCACACGGCCGUCGUCGUCAUCGUCAUCGUCGAGCCAUUUACGUCGUCGCCAGCCGGUAAUUCCCCGAACUCAUACCCAAAGCCAUAGCCAUAGUCAUAGCCAUCGCCAUCGCCAUAGCCAUAUAGCCACAUCAUCCCCCCCCUCAGGUGGUGCAAACAAGUGCAAGUGAUGCGCAUUCAUUGAUAAGAUUUCGUGCCACAACUCGCCGAUGCCAGCUGUCUUUGUAUGUUGCCCGUGGAUGUGUGGGCAUACAUUAAGUCAAGCCAAGUCGAGCCAAGUCAAGACCGCGUUGCCAUAUACGCUCUGUGCGAGCAAAUCUUUCAAUCGGUCAACAGGGGACCUAAAGAGGCACAGUGAUUGUUUUACGGCCAACUUGCUGCGCUCUCUGUUGUGGUUGAAAAACAGCUGUGAGCAACGGCACAACUUGCAUGUCAUUAGUGAUAAGCACAAGUUUUGGCUGGAGCCGCUAGUGAUCCGCCUUCAAAUCCCUUAACUAGCCAACUUGAGGUUUGUUGAACCGACUGCCUACGAUAGCUCUUAUCUAGGGAUCUGAACUUAACCCUCGGGACAAUCGAGCGUCAUUAACAAGGGGCUCGGUUUUAUGGGUUAAUACAGCAACUGGAAUAUUAAUUGCUAUUGGUCUACCGAUAGUUAUUAAAAGUGUGCAAUGAUAAAGCAGUUUACAGUGGGUCAAAGUGUAGGUACUGAUUAUAUCUUAAUUGAGCAAUACUUUCGUGUCCAAGGUAUAAGACUUAAAAUAUAUCAUGAAGGUUAAGAGCUAACUACUGAGAAGUUCUUAAUACUUCGAGAAUUCAAGUACGCCGUCAUCUAGCAGGUCCAUAACUUAGUAGGAUGCAUUUCUUUCCUGUUUCACCUGCGGGACGACACAAGUCGUGACUGGGUCCCAAAUCGCUCAUGCGACGCGGUGCCAUCGCCCGUCCUCUUUCGUGGCAGUCUUUUGUUUACAUUUUUAGAAGACUGGUAACACAACAAAAGAAGAGAACAAAAACAAAAAAUUCCAACUCCUCCUCCUCUUAUUUGAUUAUACAUUCCUCAUUGAGCAAUUUGCGUUUUCGUGUUGCACUUGACCCAAGGAGCCGGCAACAAGUUAAGAUGCGAGGGUAAAUUAAGGGAGCCAGAGCAUCCAAGGAUAAUGGUAUUAUUGGGGCACGCUCACACACACACACACGUACACCCUCAGUGGCGUGGUUGAAGCCCCCUGAAGGCAUUUAUUUUAUGGCUGCCCCAGACACCAGACACAUGUGUGUGCGUAUCCUUCGCUCCACUCACACACUCAUGCAAAUAUAGCAGCGGCUAUGUGGCUAUAUGUGCAACCAAAGCGUAACCAAAACCAAACCAACCAAGUCGCGAUUUUCAUUCAUAAAAUCGAAGAGCCAAAGAAAAUGGGCAACGAAGGAGGCUGCUGCUGGUGCUGGUGCUGCGCAGCCAGCGUCGCUGCUACCAAUAACUCAAAAGGCGCGCGCAAUUCAGCGCACUUGUGUUAAUGUAUCUGAAAGUGAAAUCACCAAAGGCGGCCGCCUCCUAUAUUCCAUGUACACAUCCGUACCAUGCCGGUCCGGCGCCAACUCCAAACUAUUAUUUGCCAGGCCACCCGGCCCGUGCUUUAGCCUCUGCCUCUGCCUGUGCCUCUACUGCUGCCUCGGUCACAGCCGCAGUCGCAGUCGCGGUCACUGCCGCGGCUGAGGCUGACUGCGCUGCCUGCUCAAUUAAGUGAAUUAAGUCUCGUGCCGGAAUUUGCACCACCCCAAAAACCCCAAACCAAACGAGCAGCCAAAACGACGAGGAGGAACGAAAACAACAACAAUUCAGAGCAGCACAUAACCAUAAAGAACAAUUAAAAGAGCAGAACAAGAAAAGGAAUAAAGAUAAGGCGCUCAGAAUCAAGACUGCAACGAACGGGAAAUGCCCUUUGGCUCUGGGGAAAAGUAAACAAUCAGUGGUGAAGGCGUUGUGAGUUGCAUUUAUCGAAACGGAUUAUUGUGCAAUAGAGAAAGGUGUCGGGCAGGGUGAUCAUAAAAGAUACUUCCACUCGAAACUGCAACUUCCUCAAGUGAAAACAGUACUCGAAGAAAGAAAGGACGGUACCAAUUCUUGCGUGAAGAUUUGACUUCUUAUAAGAGGAUUUGUAAGUCAUAUUAAUGGAAUUGGACAUAUGCAAUUCUAUUAAUAUGACUUACAAAUAACUAUACAUACAUAUGUAAAUCGCAGAUUUUAAGAGUUAGAUAGAGGUUGUUGGGAUUAAGGUGCAACUGACAGAGAAAUCCAACUACAAGAUGUACGUUUAGUCUUAUAUCAUAUUAUUUAUCUAUGUAUGUAGUUUCUACAGGGAUUCAGUAACCUUUAAUGCAAUACAGCAAGGCCGUUUUGGAGUUCUACGUACUGGCGGAAAAUUCAGCAUGAACUCAACGCAUUGUACAACUUUUUCUUACUGUCGAAAGAACUAAGAAAUUAAUGCGAACUGCUCCGCUGCCGUCAAGGAAAGAGAAAACGUAAACAGAGCAAUGACGCUGACGCCGACGGCGACGCCAAAAAGUUUGUUGCUGUUUUCUGCGGGGGAGCUGUGUCUGUGGGCGGGUGGUUGGCGAGGGGGCGGUCUGAGAGAGCGAGCAUGAGGAGAGCCGAAAAAGAGCGUUUGCAUGUAAUUAAUUAAAAGGCCCCAAAAGUCAGCUGUCUGCUGCUUUGCUGCUGCCGACGCUGCUGCUGUCCAAUUGUUGCGUUGCAUUAGACAAGCGCAGCGGCUAAGCCGGCGACAGCGACGCCGACGGAGCUGUUGACGCAAGCAGCGGCUAUUUAGCAUAUUGUGCGAAUGUGUGCCAAUAGAUGGCGCUGCACGAUGCCUGGCACGGUCACAAAGUGCGAGGGAGAAGGACUGCCGCAGUUCAGACGGUUAUUACUGCACUGAAAAGCUGGCAAGUGUUAUUUUUGCUUAGAAAUGAGAAAGCCCACGAAUACCAAAAGCAUUUCUAAAGAUUAUGUUUUGAUAUGAAGUUAUACGGUUAAUAAAGCAUCCAUUUUACAUAGUUAUGUUAAAUAUAAAUAUGCUGUUAGAACUUGAUUACUGGUAUAAGAUACUUUUUUUAAUAACAAAUAUUUUAAAUAAUUUGUAAGUGACCAGUGUGUUAUCAAAAAUGUAAUGCGAAUCAAAUCGUAUUCUGUUUCAAACAGUGCAUAACUUGGGAUACAUUCAUUUCUUACUGUGUUUCGUCAGGGGUUUGGGUUUGGGUAUUAAAGGGGGCACUGGCCAGCCUGCUGGCUGCACGUGCAACUUGUGCAUUGUUUACAUUGCUGAAUGGCAGCAGCCACCGAGAGCGGGCAUUGUUGCUGUUCUUGGGUUCGCUGUCAUGUCCCUUUGUUGCCGAGAACCUUCAUUACUCCUUAUCCCUUGGAUUUGGCUGGUAUCCACCCACCUAAGUUUGCAUGUCAUGCCCAGAGCACCGCCACCACCAUCAUCAUCAUCGCCACCCACUUAGUCAAACACCCGCCCACGCAUUGCCAAUAAGCUCACAAACCACAUGUUGAAGCUACGCGCAUUUCGCAAGGAGACGCUGCAGGUGCGGCAUGCCACCUGAGAGAUUCACCAAUUGGCGGAGGCGCAACCACAACAUCGCCUUAUCAGUUCUAGACGAACUGAACUUGUGGCAAGUUCAAGUUACUGAUAAGUCAGUUUGAGGGAUUGGUAUUACUUGGAAUGUGAGCCAGGCGCUAAUCUCGCUCGUAGUUGAACUGUUAAGCUGGGAAUUCCGAAAAUCUUUGCUGUUUUCGUUGCUAACUGAUUAAACAUAUUGCAAUUUAAGUUUAGAAAAAAUACUUUUUUUUUAAAUCUUCCUGCAUUUUAGUAAAGUUAAUGGUAUAUUUAAAAUAUCGUUUUAAUACUCAGUUUAGUAAAUAAUUCCCAAUUUGGAAUUUCAAAAUUCAUUCAUUUAAAUUGAAAAGUUUGAAAACCCGCUUAUCUAUUAGUAUCUGUGAUCAGAGAAGAGUUCAGACACAUUUCGAAUUCCCCUUUAAAAAAUUGUUUAUAUCCCGAAAUUCUUAAAAAUACUUUUUAACCAAUCCUGGCAGGAUUUGGAAGACUCACCUCAGUGCACAUUUUCGGCUGGGCCGUUCCCAGGUUCACAACUUUUAUAGCCAAAUAGAUGGGAAACGAAAAAAAAGGUAACGCGUUGGAGUUUUUGUUCAGGGCGGUACGAUCCCUUUCAGUCAGUCACUGGGCGGCGUGGGCGGAUCAGAGGGCGGCCAGCAGGUGUCCCGAAGGAAUGCGGGACGAGCAGGCGUAGGAGCGACCCAAAGCGGCAUCACAGAACUUGGACGACAUGGCUGGCACUACUCAAACUGAUCGAUCUGUAUUUUAUGCAGUUCACUAUACUUUUUUAAAAUAUUUUUAUAUACUCCAGUUGACUUGAUUGAAUAUUUCACAUUUAACGGUGUGCACUUUUUCCGAGAAACAGUGUUUCGAGUUGAUAACUUUGAAUUACGCGCGCUUGGCGAACGGCUGGCGUUUACGUCGUUUUCGAAUUGGAGCUGUCGAGCGGGCACGGAGCAAAUGAGCGACGUGGACCUCGCAGCACCGUGCUAAAAUCACAAAUAAAACGCUCGGCGCUCAAGAAGCAGGCAGCAGGCAGCCAAACGGCAGGCACGCACACAGACGCAAGUAAAUGCACCCCUGUACGAGCACCGUUCGUGGCGAGUGCGAGCGAGCAAGCUGCAUACAGCUAUCUCCCUCGCGCGACGCGCACUUAUGUAAAAAGCAUUGAAACUGAACGAGUUUCUCGAUAGCAGCGGGGAUGGUGAGGAGAGAAAGAGCGGUGGGACUGACUGGGAGAGAGCGAGAGCGCGCACACACAACACAAUCACAAUACUGGGGCAUUGCCAGCUGUGUGUGAGGCCGAGCGGUGUUGCCAGCCACCAAUUUCAACCCAGCACAGCAAGGCAGAAAUCCCAACAACGAAAUAACGAACUACGGAAUAACGAACUACGAACAGCGAAGCGAAACGUUGUGCAAACCCAAAGCCAAAGCAAACCAAACCAGGCGCUUUGGCCCGCCGGUUUGUUCGGUAUUCGGUUCGAUUGUGGGAGCGGGUAUUUAAAAGAUACAAGCAACUGCCGUGGCGUUGCCAGAGUGCGGGGCUCGAUUUGAAAGUCGAUUGGGUUUUUGACAUCUUCAGAUAGCGAUCGGGUAGGGUUUUUUAAACUUUUCAGGGCUGAUAUAGAUAUAGAUAUAGAAAGAGAUACUAGAAUUGUAAAGACUUUAAUUUCUUGCAGCUACACAUUGUUAUUUAUCAGAAUGCAAUACCAACUCCCAUAUUCCAACAGUAUACGUUAAAAAUAUAAUGAUUUAUGUUUGUUCUUGGGAUUUUGAUAGCCAUGUUUAUUCUUAGUCAUUGUAAAAAUGUUUAAAUUGCUUGGUAUAUUAUUAUUAUAUUUUCUUACUUGAAAAAAAACAUUCUUUAACAUUCAGGUUUCAAAUGAAUAUCAAAGUUCAUAUUUAAUAGUCAAAAUUAUAGGACUGUGCUCAAAAUAUAAAAAAAUCGUACAUACUGUGCUCUAUAUACAACAUCAAUAGUUCUCAAGAGUCUAUAAUUUAAAUUACACUUAUAAGCUCUUAUUCUUUGAGCUGUUUACAUAAAUAUAAUAUAUAUACAACAUUAUAUAAUGAAUAUACUUUUCUAAAAGUAAUAUAGUUUUAAAAGGAACAUAUUUAGACACCCAGUACUUUUCCAAACCAGCCACAGAGUAAACCCCAUGACCGCGUAGAUUUCGGCCAUAUGGCAACCCUAUGCCGCACAAAUGCUGACUAACAGUCUACACCAAUACCACCAACGGUGUAUCUCUCGCCGCUGUGUGUGCGUGUAUCUGUGUGUCAGUCUUGCUUGUCAGUUGGGAUUUUGUUUCGUUUCGUAUCGGGUCGUUCGUUUUCGUUUAUAUAAAGGUACAUUUCCACAUGGGCACAUGCAUGGCAGUCUUUGUCAGUGUGUGUGCGUGUGUGAGUGGCAUGCGGCGAAGGCAGCGACAAAGCAAACUCAGGCAAAGCGACUGAAACGCUCGCUGGGAAAAGCAAAACUGAACUCGAGCUGCUAUUGCUGUUGCUGUUUCGCUGGCGACGUCGGCUUCUUCUCUUCUGGUCUCUCUCCUCUCCUCUUCCCUUCACUUCUCUUCUCUUCACCCCCCCUCUUUGUGGAAACAUUUUUGUUUAUUUCAGCGGCGCGCUCGUAUCUGUAUCUCAGAUGUUGGCUGACUGGUUCGCUUCGCACACUGGCAGUCGUAUCUGUAUCUGCCAGGUACUUUUUGCCCGCUUCGUGUGCGCUCUGUGCUAUUUUAUGCGCUAUUGCCAAGAUUGCUGUGCGAAUUUCGCCUUGAAACAUUUUUUGUUUUUCGUUUUUUCCCUGCUUUUCGCCCAGCUUAUCUCUUUUGGGCCAAAAAGUCGCUAAAUGAAAUGAAAAAAAGACAACUGCAUAUUGGCCAGAAAGAGCGCGCCAAUUCUAAUUCGCCUUCCCAAAGCGAACUCUUGAUUGAAGGUCAGCGCAGGAGAAGUCGAAGUCGGCCAGUCCGUCGCAGGCUGCGUACCAACGCUGACUGAUUGUUUUCGAGCUGCUGCCUGGCUCGGCAAAUGGGAUGGCCAAACCCAACCAAAAUCCAACCCAACCUAACCAAUUUUGCGUCGCAUAUUUAGCCGUAUCCUGCUCCGCUGCUUCCGUCACUGCCGCGUCUCAGUCGCUGAUGUCAUUACUUUGAGGCGAACGAGAUUGGGGUUUAUUUUUUAUUCCCCAUCGACAGGGGUCCAAAGGUAGUUCGGGUUCUCGUCCAGCUGAUGACGGACAUGCAACUGGUCGAGGCCAUCGCUAUUGGUUAUCAACUGUGGUACAAUGGGUCCACGGGUACUAUGUAUCUCGCGGGGAAGGGAUGACUGUACCAGAUGGUAGAGAGAAGCCUUACUGUUAUGGAGUAGUUGGACAAUCUAAAGGGAUCUGUGAUCUUCCUGAUUUCAUGCCAGCUUUGUAUGACAGAAAAAUGCAUAAUAUGAGCAAUCUAUUACUAGCGGGAUAGUAUUAACUUUACCAGAGAAAUAAAGCCUAUCUAUAAAGUAACUGAACGAUUAACCAAUAUAUAAUAAGGUUUUUAUAAAAGAUCAAAAA